GAGCGUCACUCGGAUGAGGCACUAGCAGAUGCACAUUGCAUUGUUUGACCUUAAUGACCUUUCUCUGGAGUCAGGUAAGUACCCAGAACAGUUCAUCAUGGUAGGGAGGAGGAGGUGGCACAGCUGAUGACACAGCCCUCAGGAAUCUAGCCUGAAAAGCACCUUGUGGGGUCUGGGGCCAGGAGCAAGGGACAGCUUGAUGCUGUCCAUCACUAACUGGAAUCCCAGCUGGAAAAAACUCAUUACAGGACCAGAAUCUCCAGGAAAACUCAAUCCCAAACCAGGCAUCACUUCAAUUACACCCCUGACUGGAGUUUACAAACUGGUGGGUGGAUGGUAGAAGAUGGCUGCUUUCUUGGGGGGUAUGCUAGACCUCACUUGCCCUCUGCACAACAGAAUUUGGAUGCACUGGGAGGUGUGGCAGAUAGACUCCCAGGUGGUCACUGUGAUCCCCACCUGCUGUUCACAGCCUUAUGUACUCCCUGCCCCUUGAGAUGGCCUAGACCUGUGACUGCUAACCAGUAGAGUGCCACAAAGGUGACAAGAUGUUAUUUUCAUGGUUGCCUUAUGUAAGACUGCAACAUCUGCCUUGCUGAGAAAUUCUCUUGCUGGCUUUGAAGAAGGAAGCUGUCAUGUUGUGUGAGCUGCCCUUGGGAGAGGGUCAGGUGGCUAGGAACUGAGGUAGCCUCUGACAGCCAACAAGAAACUGAAGCUCAGUCCAGCAGUCUGCAAGAAAGCAAAUGCUGCCAGCAACCACACAAGCUUGGAGGCUGAUCACUCCCAGCACAACAAACUUUCUACACAUUGAUGUAUGAUAUUCCACUGAGGGGAGAGGCACCCUCCUGGCUUAACUGAAGGGGUGUACCACAGAAGGACAUGGUGGACAUCACACACAGAUUCUGUGGCAUAGGAUGAACUGCUAAACUAGGAUAUUUUAAAGUCCUCCAACAUCUGUAAUUGUUUUCCGUGGUGAACAAGUGUCGUGUGUCUCAAGAAGACAGGCCACAGUGACCUCUUUGAAAGCUUUCUGUCAAGUCUCUUAUCCAAGGGGAGCAAAAUCACAAAGGUCCCAGGCGAUUUUUUUUCCUCUUUCCUCUUUUCUUCAUAAAUCUUGGUUUUGCUUUUAUUUGACGAAAACAAUCUGAUGCCUGUUCUCCCUUCUAUACAAUGGUAAAUUAGCAUGCAAGUAGCUAUCCCUUUAUUAUUGUUUGAUAGAUUUUUGCAGCGGCUAUGUCCGUAAAAAUUAGCCCACCUGAGAUAUAUCACUGGAGCCAACAGAACCCUGCACCCAACAGGCACCUUGUGCAGACCUGGACCCUUACAGCUGUUGGCUCAUGUUCCUUUGGUUCUUCUAAUGAAUAUCAUGAGUAGAAACUGAGCUCUUUGGCUUUUACCCACUACCAUGACUCUAGUACAUUUUCUCUCUCUCGUUUCUCUCAUUUUUGUAUCAUGAUUUUCUGCCAUCAGGGGCAUCAGUGUGGGUUCCUGGUUUUGAUGGUAUGGAGUGAACUUCUGGGAUCGUUUUAUGACUGUAUAACAGUUGGUAUUCUUCUGUUGAUGAAGAUUUGUGUUGUACCCAGUUUUUCCUUAGUAUAAAAAGGAGGUUAAUAAGAACAUUUUUGCUAGAAGCCUUGUUGGAUGUAUUGUUCAUUUUACGGGGGUAAUCAAUAAAUGUAAGCGUGCUUCUUU
rnacentral:lncRNA from 1 species